rnacentral:rRNA from 1 species
AACAUCGCCUCUUGACCAACCAUAAGAGGUCCAGCCUGCCCAGUGACAAAGUUAAACGGCCGCGGUACCCUAACCGUGCGAAGGUAGCGCAAUCACUUGUUCUUUAAAUGAGGACUAGUAUGAACGGCAUCACGAAGGUUAUACUGUCUCCUUCCUCUAAUCAGUGAAACUGACCCCCCCGUGAAGAGGCGGGGAUAAAAUUAUAAGACGAGAAGACCCCAUGGAGCUUCAAACUCAGCAUCAAUUGCCCGACACAUAGAUCAUUUCAACCAGGCAAACCUGACAGCUAGUUUUCGGUUGGGGUGACCGCGGAGCAAAACAAAACCUCCACGAUGAAUGGACCUUUCCUAAUCAAAGAGCCACCACUCGAAGAAUCAAUAAACUGACAUAAACUGAUCCAAUUAAUUUUGAUCAACGAACCAAGUUACCCUGGGGAUAACAGCGCAAUCCACUUCAAGAGCCCCUAUCGACAAGUGGGUUUACGACCUCGAUGUUGGAUCAGGGUAUCCUAGUGGUGCAGCCGCUACUAAAGGUUCGUUUGUUCAACG